UGGGGAAUCUUGCGCAAUGGGCGAAAGCCUGACGCAGCGACGCCGCGUGAGGGAAGAAGGCCUUCGGGUUGUAAACCUCUUUCAGCAGGGACGAAGCCCCUCGGGUUAAUAGCCCAGAGGGUGACGGUACCUGCAGAAGAAGCCCCGGCUAACUACGUGCCAGCAGCCGCGGUAAUACGUAGGGGGCAAGCGUUGUCCGGAUUUAUUGGGCGUAAAGAGCGUGUAGGCGGCCAGACAGGUCCGUUGUGAAAACUGGAGGCUUAACCUUCAGACGUCGAUGGAAACCGUUUGGCUAGAGUCCGGAAGAGGAGAGUGGAAUUCCUGGUGUAGCGGUGAAAUGCGCAGAUAUCAGGAAGAACACCCGUGGCUAAGGCGGCUCUCUAGUACGGUACUGACGCUGAGACGCGAAAGCGUGGGGAGCGAACAGG
rnacentral:rRNA from 1 species